GAUGAACGCUGGCGGCGUGCCUAAUACAUGCAAGUCGAGCGAACGGACGAGAAGCUUGCUUCUCUGAUGUUAGCGGCGGACGGGUGAGUAACACGUGGAUAACCUACCUAUAAGACUGGGAUAACUUCGGGAAACCGGAGCUAAUACCGGAUAAUAUUUUGAACCGCAUGGUUCAAAAGUGAAAGACGGUCUUGCUGUCACUUAUAGAUGCAUCCGCGCUGCAUUAGCUAGUUGGUACGGUAACGGCUUACCAAGGCAACGAUGCAUAGCCGACCUGAGAGGGGGAUCGGCCACACGAGAAGUGAGACACGGUCCAGACUCCUACGAGAGGCAGCAGUAGGGAAUCGUCCGCAAUAGGCGAAAGCCUGACGGAGCGACGCCGCGUGAGUGAUGAAGGUCUUCGGAUCGUAAAACUCUGUUAUGGGGGAAGAACAGAUGUGGAAGUAACUGUGCACAUCUUGACGGUACCUAAUCAGAAAGCAACGGCUAACUACGUG
rnacentral:rRNA from 1 species